GACUCCAACAUCGCAGUAGUGUCUGAGCGAGGGUGAGGAGAGGUCGUGUCGUUUCUCUCUCUCUCUCUCACUCUCUCCCCUUUUCGGUCUCUGUCGCCAAAGGACUCCCGCCGAGUCUCAAAAUAAUGCCAGUUUGAAAAGGGCCCGGAGUGAACCUUCCUUUCCCCCUACCAAGUGUCGCGAGCGCAAAAAGGAACACGAUGACCGAUAGGAAUUCACGCAGGAUCGCUGACCUCGUGAAACUCUCUGGGAACAGCGAGUGUGCAGACUGUGGAUAUCAACCUCCAGAAUGGGCAUCAUACAACAUUGGCGUAUUCCUGUGCACAACAUGCGCUGCGUGGCACAGACGACUAGGGUCACAUAUAUCCAAGGUCAAGUCUCUCACAUUAGACAAAUGGGACGACGAGCAAGUGGAAAUGAUGGAGAUGGUGGGGAACGCAUCAGCCAAAGAAAAAUACGAGCAGCAUGUGCCAGCCUGCUACAGAAUACCCAAAGCUGGAGAUCCAUCGGUACUGCUAGAACAAUGGAUACGUGCCAAAUACGAGCGCCAAGAAUUUAUAGAUGUCGAUAAACAGACCUAUGUUAGAAGCUACCUGGAAGGAACUCUAAUGAAGAGAGCAAAAGAUGAAAAUAAAUAUUACCAGCGAAAAUUUAUCCUUGCUGAUAAUACAUUAAAAUAUUUUAGUAAAGAGAAUGCAAAAGAACCAAAGGCAACCAUAAACCUCUCAGAGCUGAAUGUGUGCUUGUCCCCUAGUAAGAUGAGCCAAGAGAAUGGCCUCCAGCUAUCUUACAUGUGUGACGGGUCCACGAGACACAUCUAUGUAUAUCACGAAAGCGGGGAGACUAUUAUACACUGGUACACAGCUAUUAGAUCCAUAAAACUAAAUUGGCUGAUGGUGGCCUAUCCUAGUGCCAGUGCAGAAGAGUUGGUGCCGUACUUAACAACAGACUUUGUUAUCGAGGGAUGGCUGUCGAAAACAGGUCCAAGCGAGAGGGAUGCUUACAGAAAGAGAUGGUUUAUCCUGGAUGACCGCAAAUUGAUGUACCAUGAAGGGCCAAUGGACGCCUAUCCCAGAGGAGAAAUCUUCCUGGGCCACAAGGACGACAACUACAGUAUUAAAGAAGGUGCUCCCAGAGGGUGUAAAGACCAAGACUUCUCCUUCUCCCUGACCACCCCAGAACGGACGUAUGUUAUGUCCGCACCCACGUCGGACGAGAGAGCGAGAUGGAUACAGGCAAUAAACGCAGUCCUGGAGCGAGUGCUUAGACCUCAAGACAACCAGAUGGCUGUCAACCUGGUACGCAAAAGAGCUGGAAAAUUUAGCCUAGACAUCUUCAGUUUGGGCUGAGGAGGAAACAGUCCAUUCACUUUCGGCUAUAAGUAUAUAUUUCUAUUUAAAAGGAUUUGUGCCCAUUCUAGGUUGACUUUUGUUAUUUGUUAAUUAUCCUCCAGACAGGAGUAGAGAAAGGAGGGGCUAAGUAAAUUAUUCUCAAAUAAAGGUUUACUUAUGAUUUUAUGUGAGAAAGAUGGUAAAAUUUGUAUUUUUAUAAUUUUAUGUUUGGUAAUUCUACUUCAGCUGAAGAGUCUCAUUACUGCUUUUCAUUACUUUGACAUCAACUGAAUGUAUUUAUAGGGGAUACUGAAGACAAGAGGGAUGAUUAAUGUUAAAAGGAAAUGAGUCUCAUACUCAUAUCAACAAAGAAGAUACAGCACCAUUGUUUUUCAAGUCGACAGUAUUUUCCAGUUUUGGGAAUAUUAACUGCAAUUUAAUUGUUGCAGUUUGUUAACCUGAUUUUUUUCUGAGAUGCAAGAUAGAAGGAGAGCUAUGUUGUUGUUGUUUCUUCCUUCAUUCUUGCAAGGGAAUUUAUACACUUUUUUUUUUUUUUUUAUUGAGGUACAGAUUUACCUCCAACUUGGCUCCCUCUUUUGGACUGAAUACAAGUUGAGCCAAUCCUAAUUGGUAGCCAAUUGGAAUUAAGAUUAUGGUAGCAAAAGAUCGGACUAAUUUUUUUUUUUCAGCAUUUUUUAAGAUUAAUUUUUGAACAAAGAAGCUAGGUCCGAUUUUUAAAGAAAUUUCAUAGUACAAAGUGUUAUUUCUGUCUCUUUUUUAUGAUAAGAAUGCUUCUGUGAAAUU
rnacentral:misc_RNA from 1 species